rnacentral:rRNA from 1 species
GACGAACGCUGACAGAAUGCUUAACACAUCAGCAAUUGAUUGGUGGCGGAAGAGCGAGUAACGCGGAAAGAACUUACAUCACAGUUAGGGACAACAUUUGGAAAAGAAUGCUAAUACGUAAUACUGUGAGAGGGUUUUGCGUUGCAUGAGCUAGUUGGAGAGGUAACGGAUCACCAAGGCGAGGAUGGGUAGCCGGACUGAGAGGGGGAUCGGCCGCAAGGGGACUGAGACACGGCCAUUACACCGUCGGGAGGCAGCAGUGGGGAAUAUUGUACAAUGUACCAAAGUCUGAUCCAGGAAUUCUGUGUGCACGAUGCAGUUUUCGGAAUGUAAAGUGCUUUCAGUGGGGAAGCGUUACCAACAGAAGAAGUGACGGCUAAAUACGUGCCAGCAGCCGCGGUAAUUC